AGAUUGAACGCUGGCGGCAUGCUUUACACAUGCAAGUCGAACGGUAACAGGCCGCAAGGUGCUGACGAGUGGCGAACGGGUGAGUAAUGUAUCGGAACGUGCCCAGUCGUGGGGGAUAACGCAGCGAAAGCUGCGCUAAUACCGCAUACGAUCUAUGGAUGAAAGCGGGGGACCGUAAGGCCUCGCGCGAUUGGAGCGGCCGAUAUCAGAUUAGGUAGUUGGUGGGGUAAAGGCUCACCAAGCCAACGAUCUGUAGCUGGUCUGAGAGGACGACCAGCCACACUGGGACUGACGACACGGCCCAGACU
rnacentral:rRNA from 1 species